rnacentral:tRNA from 1 species
GGAGCUGGAACUCAGUGGUAGGGCACUUACCUAAUAUGUAUGAGGUCUUGAGUUCAAUCCUCAACAUUCCCU